UGUUUUAUUUUUUAACCCACAAUGACUGUAAAAAAAGAAAAGUUGUUGUUCUUAACAAGAAAACAGAAUUACAUCAAGACCAAGUGGAUUGUCUAUGAUAGUAUCCAUGGCAUCAGAAAAUUAUUUUUGUUAGAACUAACACUUAGAAAAAUGACUACUUGUCACUUUGAAUAGUCCAAGAGAAGAACCUCGAGGAUGGACAUUAACUCCCAGUAAUGUACAUAUUUGGAGGUCGACUGGUAAAGUGUGGUAAUGGCUGGCCAGUCCACCUCUCUCUACAGAUGAAACAUUUGGCCGGCCACGGGAGAGCGGACAACGCCUGCUGGGAGAGCGCAGUAAUCAUUCAUUAACCUCUGACCCGGAGAGGAGUGUCAA